rnacentral:rRNA from 1 species
GAUGAACGCUGGCGGCGUGCUUAAUACAUGCAAGUCGAGCGAAGCACUUUAACGGAAUUCUCCGGAAGGAAGGUAAAGUGACUGAGCGGCGGACGGGUGAGUAACGCGUGGGUAACCUGCCUUAUACAGGGGGAUAACAGUUGGAAACGACUGCUAAUACCGCAUAAGCCCUGAGGGGGAAAGAUUUAUCGCCGAAAGAACGGCCCGCGGAAGAUUAGGUAGUUGGUGGGGUAACGGCCUACCAAGCCGACGAUCUAUAGCUGGUCUGAGAGGACGAUCAGCCACAUUGGAACUGAGACACGGUCCAA